GCUGAAGAUUGGUAUUUGUACCGAUUGGAUGAGUUGCGAACGGGUGAGUAACGCGUAGGUAACCUGCCUGGUAGCGGGGGAUAACUAUUGGAAACGAUAGCUAAUACCGCAUGACAGUUGUGAUUGCAUGAUGACAACUUAAAAGGGGCAAUUGCUCCACUAUCAGAUGGACCUGCGUUGUAUUAGCUAGUUGGUGGGGUAACGGCUCACCAAGGCGACGAUACAUAGCCGACCUGAGAGGGUGAUCGGCCACACUGGGACUGAGACACGGCCCAGACUCCUACGGGAGGCAGCAGUAGGGAAUCUUCGGCAAUGGGGGCAACCCUGACCGAGCAACGCCGCGUGAGUGAAGAAGGUUUUCGGAUCGUAAAGCUCUGUUGUAAGAGAAGAACUGUAGCAGGAGUGGAAAAUCUGCUACUUGACGGUAUCUUACCAGAAAGGGACGGCUAACUACGUGCCAGCAGCCGCGGUAAUACGUAGGUCCCGAGCGUUAUCCGGAUUUAUUGGGCGUAAAGCGAGCGCAGGCGGUUAGAUAAGUCUGAAGUCAAAGGCUGUGGCUCAACCAUAGUUUGCUUUGGAAACUGUUUAACUUGAGUGCAAGAGGGGAGAGUGGAAUUCCAUGUGUAGCGGUGAAAUGCGUAGAUAUAUGGAGGAACACCUGUGGCGAAAGCGGCUCUCUGGCUUGUAACUGACGCUGAGGCUCGAAAGCGUGGGUAGCGAACAGGAUUAGAUACCCUGGUAGUCCACGCCGUAAACGAUGAGUGCUAGGUGUUAGGCCCUUUCCGGGGCUUAGUGCCGCAGCUAACGCAUUAAGCACUCCGCCUGGGGAGUACGACCGCAAGGUUGAAACUCAAAGGAAUUGACGGGGGCCCGCACAAGCGGUGGAGCAUGUGGUUUAAUUCG
rnacentral:rRNA from 1 species